rnacentral:rRNA from 1 species
UACAGAGGUCUCAAGCGUUGUUCGGAUUCAUUGGGCGUAAAGGGUGCGUAGGCGGCGCGGUAAGUCGGAUGUGAAAUCGUCGGAGCCUUAACUCCGAAACUGCAUUCGAUACUGCCGUGCUUGAGGACUGGAGAGGAGACUGGAAUUUACGGUGUAGCGGUGAAAUGCGUAGAUAUCGUGAAGGAAGACCAGUGGCGAAGGCGGGUCUCUGGACAGUUCCUGACGCUGAGGCACGAAGGUCAGGGGAGCAAACGGG